GACGAACGCUGGCGGCGUGCCUAACACAUGCAAGUCGAACGGAACUGUUUUGAAAGAUUUCUUCGGAAUGAAUUUGAUUUAGUUUAGUGGCGGACGGGUGAGUAACGCGUGAGUAACCUGCCUUCAAGAGGGGGAUAACAUUCUGAAAAGAAUGCUAAUACCGCAUGACAUAUCGGAACCACAUGAUUUUGAUAUCAAAGAUUUUAUCGCUUGAAGAUGGACUCGCGUCCGAUUAGUUAGUUGGUGAGGUAACGGCUCACCAAGACCGCGAUCGGUAGCCGGACUGAGAGGUUGAACGGCCACAUUGGGACUGAGACACGGCCCAGACUCCUACGGGAGGCAGCAGUGGGGGAUAUUGCGCAAUGGGGGCAACCCUGACGCAGCAACGCCGCGUGAAGGAUGAAGGUUUUCGGAUUGUAAACUUCUUUUAUUAAGGACGAAACUUGACGGUACUUAAUGAAU
rnacentral:rRNA from 1 species